UUUCCGUAGGUGAACCUGCGGAAGGAUCAUUAUUGUAUAACCGAGGUGCGAGGGCUGUCGCUGACCCAAAGGUCGUGCACGCCCGAGUGCCCUCACACACAUCCAUCUCACCCCUAUGUGCACCACCGCGUGGGUCCCCCUUUGGCUUGUUCGGAGGGGGGCUUACGUUUUCACACAAACUUUGUAUGCAGUGUAGAAUGUAUUUUUUGUUUUUGCGAUCACGCAAUCAAUACAACUUUCAACAACGGAUCUCUUGGCUCUCGCAUCGAUGAAGAACGCGGC
rnacentral:misc_RNA from 1 species